CACCAUUGCCAUGCCUCUGUGUGCUCCAGAGUAUUCGGUGGUACAGGUCCAAGGGAUGGAUGCCAUGGAGAUAAAGUCCCUGGCCCAGGGCCCCCCAGCCCGAGGGGCAGGAGACCUUUCCAUGCCUCUGGGAUGUUUUUGUUUAUUUCUAACUCUGAGCUCCUUCUCUGUGGGGGAGGAGCUUCCCUUUCCGUCUCCAGGGCUGCUGAGAAAAUGUUGGACAGAGGAAGGAAGGCAGGGCAGGGCCAGGCUGCAGCUAGCAUCUGGACUGUUGGCUAAGGCUGGUGAUGGCACAGAAGACCCUUGCCCCCUUUUACAGCUUCUCGCCUAGAAGCCUGGCCCAGAUGCCUGAAUUCCCACCUUCCAUGCACUUAGCCCUGGGGCUUGCAGUUUUGCCAGGUCCUUACUGCCUCCUCCCUCCUGUGGCCUGCCCGGAGGGGCACACAAGCAAAGCCAGUGCCUCUGUGGACAGGCAGCUUAAGACAUUAGGAGACAAAUGAAGGAAGGAGGCAAAACUUCCAAGGCCGGACUAUCUCCUCUGGACCAGAGUUUCGGCCUGCUGGGAAUGGAGUCACCAGCCCCGGGGGGGCUGACAGGUGGCUCCCGCCUGCAGAGCUGUAACUCAUCCCUGCUGCUGAACAGGAAAGGGCCUGCCUUACCCAGACCCCAUCCUCCAGAAAGGGUUAGUCAGGCAAGUGUGCUGAGAGGCCCCUGGGAACCUCGUCUCGAUUAACCCAUCAGAAAGCAGCCCAUCCUUUGCACCCAGCUCUCAGAUGGAAAAGUGAAGCCCAGAAGGAAGGGACCUGACACGGAGGCUUCCUUGGUAGCGUUUCAGUCUCAAGGGAAGAACUGUGGGCCUCCCCUGGAGCACUGGUGAAGGAAGGGGUUGGUUUGGAUAUUGUCUCCUGACUGGGAUAUGGGCAGGACUGACAGGGAGCUGGAGUCCUAACGAAGCCUGGGCUAGGUGCAGGAAGAACCAACCCAGUGGUCUCCUGACAUCUCCCAUGCCCCCACCGCAGCUGGGUCACCUCCGGAAUAAGGAAGAGAGAGCUGGAGGUGGAGGAACUAAGGACCUUCUUUGCCAGGUGGGGACUUAAAGCAUACAGUGAAGUUGUUCUCUGAAAUUCCUCAUCUGCCUUAAGUCUGGACCCAUCAAAGAAGAAAACAAUGACCACUGGUCCUUUCCCAGAGUUUUCUCUGACUGAACUCCUGUCACAGGAAGAAAGACUGAAGCCUGCUCACACACCUGGACAGAUUUUGCAAACCGUUGUCUGCUCUGUGAGCCCAACAGACUUUGUCCCAGGCCACUGUAUGUUCUUCAAGCCCACUGAAUUCCCCUGAAAAUCAUUUACUAGCCCCCUGAAAUUACCCACACUUCCUCAUUGCUCAUCUGUACCCCAUUUCGUGGUGGGGCAGUCACUCUGAUUUCCCCUUGCAUGCUAAUGAAUGUGUAUUCCAUUUCUAUUCUGCUUUUAUGAGCUGACUUUUCAGUGAACCUUCAGAGGGUAAAGGGGAAGUUUUCCCUUGGCCCCUGCACCGCAAUUGGUAAGGUCCAAAAUGUUAAAUGGAAAAUUCCAGAAAUAGCUGGUCGUGAUGGCUCCCGCCUGUAAUCCCAGCACUUUGGGAGGCCGAGGUAGGUGGAUAGCUUGAGGUCAGGAGUUCGAGAGCAGCCUGGCCAACAUGGUGAAACCCUGUCUGUACUAAAAGUACCAAAAUUAGCUGGGCUUGGUGGCGCACGCCUGUAGUCCCCGCUACUUGGGAGGCUGAGGCAGGAGAAUCACCUGAACCUGGGAGACAGAGGUUGCAGUGAGCAGAGAUCGCAC
rnacentral:lncRNA from 1 species